UGAAGAAGGGAAAUAUCAAAACUCUUUGCCUCACUAAAUUAUUCAGCAACCUUAUGAAACUUAAUAAUAAUUAUAUAUGCUCAAAUAGCAGAAUGUGGUGUUUUGUUAACAACUUUGGGUAUGUUUUAUUCUACUAUUCUAUUAUUUUGCAGGAGGCAGGAGGUAAACUUUCCACUGUUGCUGAAAUGGAAUAUAUGAACCGGCCUAUCAUGCCCUCUGGAGGGACCAGCAGUGGCCUGACAGUGAGCUCAUCAGACGGAAGAGCCCCAAAGCCAGCCUCAUCUCCACUUCUCUGUUUUGAUAACCCGACUCCUGUUUUGGGAUCCCCAUCCUUAGCAGGUUGGAGCUGCUUCCUGAAGUUUCUAUUUAUAUGUUGCCUCAGUGUAUUUUUUGUUUGUUUUUGUUUUGUUUUGGCCUUUUCACAUCUGUUUAAAAUUACUUAUGAUUUUCUCUCUAUACUAUGUAUUACAUAUUUACAUUAAUUGUUAUAUAUAAUAUAUUAUCUGUUCAAAUAGCUAGUGUAGUUCCUGAGAGAAAGAGAGAGAGAGGGAGAGAGAUUUAUUUCAAGGAUUGGCUCACACAGUGAUAGAGACUGUCAGGUCCAAAAUCUGCAGAGUAGACUGGAGAUCAAGAGAAGACUUGUUAUUGCAGUUUUCAUCUAAUGGCUGGCUGCUAGCAAAAUUACUUCUUGCUUGAGGGGGAUCAGUCUUUGUUCUUAUUCAGGUCUUCAUCUGAUUGAAUGUGAGGCCUCUUGCAUUACAAAAGGGAACUGCUUGACCAAGUCCAAGGUUUAUUUUAUUUUAUUUUAUUUUAUUUUUAAGAUUUUAUUUAUUUGACACAAAGAGAGCACAAGCAGGGGGAAUGGCAGAGGGAGAAGCAGGCUCUCUGGGAGCAGGGAGUCCAACAAGGGAAUCUAGGGAAUGGAUCUCAGGAUUCUGGGAUCAUAACUUGUGCUGAAAGCUAAUGCUUAACUGACUGAGCCACCCAGGUGCCCGAGAGUCCGAGAUUUAAAUGCUAAUUUCACUCAAAAGCCACUUCACAGAAGCAUCCAGAAUAAUAUUUGAUCAAAAAAAUAUCUGGGCACCAUGGCCUAGCCCAGUUUACAUAUAACAGUAAACAGCUCAAGUAGCAAAGAUUUCUUAGUUAUGACAAAAAAAGCAUAAUACACAUGAACUAAAAAAAUGAUAAAUGAAUUUCACAAAAAUUAAGAACUUGUGCUCUUCAAAAUCACAGUUAAGAGAAUGAGAAGAUAAGCCAUAUUCUGAGAGAAAAAAUUCCUGGCUAUAUAUCUGAGAAAGGAAUUGUAACCAGAAUUCUUCAAAUUUAAUAGUGCUAGAACAAAUAUCCCAAUUAAAAAAAAAUGAGGUGAAGGUAUUUAAACAGGCACUCCAACAAAGAAGAUAGAUGGUAAAUAAGUAUAUGUAAAAGUGAGUUAUUGGAUAAAUGCAAAUUAAAACCACAGUAAUAUAACACUACACACCUUUUAGGAUGGCUAAAAUUUAAAAAAAAAAGUCCAUUACAGUGUGCCAAUAAGAAUGUAGAACAACUGGAACUUUUGCAAAUUGCUGGUUGAAAUGGAAAAUGGUAGAGAAACGUUGGAAAACAAUUUGAUAGUUUCCUAUGAAAUUAAAUGUACACUUAACCUAUGACAGAGCAAACCCAUUCCAAGGUAUCCACCAAAGUGAAAUUAAACUUAUAUUUAUACCAAAAUGUGUAGUUGAAUAUUUAGUGAGAUAUAUUCAAAAGAAACAAAUAUUCAUAAGAACCAAAGACUAGAAACAACUGCAAAGUCUUUAUGGCAUGUAUAUCUAUGGGAUGUAUAAGCAAACUGUGAUGUACCCAUACAAUAAAAUACUGCUACUCAGGAAAAAAGAAACGGAC
rnacentral:lncRNA from 12 species